rnacentral:lncRNA from 1 species
UGGAACUAAGAAAACAGCAGUGAUUAAGAAGAGACCAGUAUCACUAUGGUGCAAUCUUCUAUGAAGUAUUUUCUGAGAGCACAAAGAAGCUGUGUUCCAGAGAUAGACCUUGUGCUAGCAGCCAGAUUUGGUAAUGUGUAAGUAUCAUGCAGGUAGAACUGGUUUUGAAAGCAUGAAGGGGACAUGGAGAACAGCUGAGGCUUAGCACUGUGAGAGGACAGCAAAGACUACUGGUGAAGGUACAGACUCUGGGCAGUUGAUGGCCCAGGAAUGAAGGGGUAAUGCAAAGAAGGUGAGGCUUGGCACCGUUAAGUUAUGAGAAACUAGUGAAGCCUAAUUGCAGUGGAAGACUCCAGAAAAUUGGAGGUGCCAGUACUAUGGAAUGAUCACCAAGAAUAGCAGCAGCAGUGGAGUGGAGUCAGUCAGAGCUAGAGUGCUACAGAGGGCAGAGCUGGAGAAGUGACUCAAAUCUUUUGGAGGAGUCCAGAAGAUCAUAUGUGGAUCCAAGACAUUGGCACAAGAAACCGUGAAGUUAAAGUUGCCUUGGAUUCCCAAAAGAAGUAAGAGAUGCCAGAGAUGUGGGAUACUUGCUGAGGGAAGCUGCUAACAGGAAGUUGAAAAAGCCCAAGUGAAAGAGCUGUGUUGCAGUCAACAAAGAUGAAAGGAGUUGGACGUCAGACCUGUAGAUGCAGUUUGGAGUUUGCUCAGCUGGUUUUUGGUCUUGCUUUGAUCCAGUAUUUCUUCACUACGACAUUUUGGAAUGAUGUGGUUGCUGAGGUGCAGAGAGUUCAACUGGUUGUUAUGACAACACAGAGGAGAGAGAUUUGAAUACUACUCUUCUGCUUCCUAAUGGAAAGCCUGUAUUGAGCAUGCUCAGAAGAGGAUCUGUAUCGUUCUUUGUGCUUGAGGAUAUGUAUACGUGACUUGGAGGAGGAAGAUAGAAGGACCUGGGAUAAGAUAAAGAAGCUGCCUGUUCUUUUCACAUCUGAAUCGAUGUCCAGAAAACUUCACUUUCUUUAGUCUUAAAAUGGGAAGCUAGGACACUCUCAAAGAUCAGAGCUCAGGUAACAGAGACUAAUUUUCAGUUGCAGUUGAUCCUGGAAAAAAAAAAAGCUUAUUUUGCUUACUAACUUGGAUUCCAUAAUGAUUCUAUCUUCACCUUGACAUAAAUCAUCAGCAACAACAACAACAACCCUCCCAAACAAAAACAAUCCAUCUUUGUCACUGGAUGAAGAAAGGCAGAGCUCCAGGCCUGUGGCUGCUAAUUCCAUCACAGACAGAAACAGGGCAAGGAUUUCCAAAUAGCUAAGAUCAAAAGUAUUAAACAGAGGUGUUCUUGCAUACAAAUUAAACAUCUCACCAAAAUAAAAGGCAGCUUGAUUUUUAACGUGGGGAGAGAGAGAGAGAGAGAGACAGAGAGACAGAGAUAAGAGAGGCAGAGAUAAGAGACAGAGAUAAGAGAGGCAGAGAUAGAGAGACAGAGAGAGAGAUAAAGACAGAGAAACAGAGAGAGAGGCAGAGAAACAGAGACAGAGAAACAGAGACAGAGAUAAGAGAGGCAGACAGAGAUAGAGAGACAGCGAGGAAGCAUGAUUGAUUUUGACCAUAAGACCUUGAUAACCCCCAUAAAAAGGAAAAAAAAAAUAUGAAUAACAUUGAGGAGAGAUUUAGGUCCUAGUAUAACCAGAAGUGAUGAUACUUAUUUCCUGCAUCAAGUAAGAGCAUCUUAGUUUUUUUCAUAGAGAUACAUUUAAAAAAAAUAGUAGUAUUCAUAGGAGACAUUUUCAGGCUUUGUUCUAUCCCAUAUUUCUCCAAAGGACCUUAGUGCUUCCUGCAUCUUCAAAAAUACCACAAAUACAAGAAGCACAAAUCUGGGGCUGUGCAUAGAUACACAUGGUAAUAUAUACAAGUGUAAUGACGACAGGUCAGCAAAGCAUGUGGUUGAACUUGAAAGUACUGUUUAAAUCAGAGCUCCUAUAUUAGAUACACUCUAGUGUGCUUGGGGUGGUCUAUUACCGUCCAGUACAAGGAGGGUCAUGGACAAUAGCUCAUACCUCAUUGACAUGAACAGGGUCAGAUGUUCCAAACAAAAGACUCAUAGGGGCUGGGAUCCCCAGAGCUUCACUCAUACUCCCUUCUCUUAAACUUUUAUUAAGCUGAGAGUAAAGUAGUUCAAUUUUAGUAAUAAAUUACAACAGAAACCUAGGGCUGGCUCCCCAGGCCUCUUUUGUCUUUCCAUCUUUAAUCAAUUAUCUUCAAAAUUCUCAGCAGUAUGUUUAAUUUCUAGGAAUAGUAUCUACAUAGAAACUAUUUCAAAAGGAAGGUUGAAGGGUCAAAGGCUUUAUUAUAUUUACUCUCAAAGUGAUUUUUCUUAUAAAUGUGUAAUAUACAAUGAAUGAAUUAGCACAAAUAAUGUAUCCAUAACUUGUAUAUGUGUACACGGUUAAAACAAUCCCAUGUAUACCAAUGUAUACCUGUUUUAAUGUAAGAAAUAAGCUUUAACUAGUAGCAUUGACCCUUCCUCUAUUAAAUCCUCUUCCUCCUUACCCGAGGAAAGAUAUUGGUUGUGCUUUAAUCAUUUUCUUCCUUUCCUGGAUAUUAUUAUUAUUAUUAUUAUUAUUAUUAUUAUUAUUAUUUGGUUUUUCGAG